GUGUGUGUGUGCGCGCGCGCACGCGCGCGUGAGAAAGAAAGAGAGAGAGAGAGAGAGAAAAAGAAAGAAUCGCGGAGUCCGUUCUCGUGGAAGACGCAGAGAGCACGAUAUCGAUUCGACGACGACUGGAUUGCGUCCCGAAGGACGAUACGUUCCUUCGGCGUUUCUCGUAUUAUACGGGCUCGAAGAAUAUACGACAAUAAAAGAAGGAUCGUAGCCGCUCGAACACGAUCCAUACUCCGUGAGAGUUAAUCGAGAGACGGACGAACUCCUACGGCUUUUAUGGCUCCGCUCGUAAAGAUAUACCUACGGCUUUUUCUGUGGAACUGAGGACCCCUUCGAACGAACACCCGGUCCAGGAAAAGCAGUAGAGAGACGUAGACGAUGAAGAUACGGAAAGAACUGUGGUCUGGAUGCGUAAACGCAGGGAGGAGGAGUAUUCCUUGGGCCGUGGAAAUUUCGGUGAAAGAGGGUCGAAGAAGCUAGCCAACCAAUUACUAUGCUGUAUAAAGGAAAAAAAAGUAAUAAAAAAUAAAAAAUAAAAUAAAAUAAAAUAAAACGAACAUACCUAACGCAGUUAAGAUAAUGUACAAGUCUCUAGUGUGAUACAUUUCUACGCUUAUUCUCUAACUGUAGCCGUGAAGUCUAAAGUACGAUACCUCGUUAUGGUUUGUAACACGGAGAAGUAGUCCUGUAAUAACUAAAUAAUAAUAAUAACAAUAAUAUUAAUAUUAAUAUUAAUAUUAAUAAUAUUAAUAAUAAUAAUAAUAAUAAUAAUAAAAUAAUAUUAAAAUAAAAUAUUAAUAAUAAUAAUGAAAAAAAAGUACGAUCAAAAAUCCGCUUAGGCUGACUGUUAACUCGCAAAAGACGUAUUGUAUUUCUGUAGGGAGGAAUUGUCCUAAUAAUUGCGAAUUGAACAUAAAGUAAAAAGAAAAAAAAAAAAAAAGAAAAAAAAAGAAAUGAGGAAGCAUAAAACGACGUCACUGAGAGAACAUGAAAAAAAGAGCCCAUAUAUAAUAAGGAUAUAUAGAGGCGUGCGGAUCACCGAUUUAUGGAUGAAUGAAUGCGUGAAUAAUAAUGAAUGGAUGAGCAUAAUGAUGGACGAUCGACCAGUCUUGGCCGAUUCGCGAGUGUGUGUCACUUUAACAAGCGAAGUAUUUCGAGAGUAUAGUGUUCGGAAUGUACAUAAUUCUUGUAUAUAACGAACGAAUCACUGAUUGUACAAUACCACCCAAAUAUAUUUAUAUUUCAUGUUAA